GAAGGUGGCAAGCGUUGUUCGGAUUCACUGGGCGUACAGGGAGCGUAGGCGGUUGGGUAGGCCCUCCGUGAAAUCUCCGGGCCUAACCCGGAAAGUGCAGAGGGGACUGCUCGGCUUGAGGACGGGAGAGGAGCGCGGAAUUCCCGGUGUAGCGGUGAAAUGCGUAGAGAUCGGGAGGAAGGCCGGUGGCGAAGGCGGCGCUCUGGAACGUUUCUGACGCUGAGGCUCGAAAGCGUGGGGAGCAAACAGGAUUAGAUACCCUGGGUAGUCCACGCCUUAAACUAUGGAUACUAAGUGUCGGCGGGUUACCCGCCGGUGCCCGCAGCUAACGCAGUAAGUACUCCCGCCUGGGAAGUACGGCCGCAAGGUUG
rnacentral:rRNA from 1 species